UACGGAGGAUGCAAGCGUUAUCCGGAAUGAUUGGGCGUAAAGCGUCCGCAGGUGGCUGUGUAAGUCUGCUGUCAAAGAGCAAAGCUCAACUUUGUAAAGGCAGUGGAAACUACACGGCUAGAGUGCGUUCGGGGCAGAGGGAAUUCCUGGUGUAGCGGUGAAAUGCGUAGAGAUCAGGAAGAACACCGGUGGCGAAGGCGCUCUGCUAGGCCGCAACUGACACUGAGGGACGAAAGCUAGGGGAGCGAAUGGG
rnacentral:rRNA from 1 species